rnacentral:rRNA from 1 species
UACGUAGGGCGCGAGCGUUGUCCGGAUUUAUUGGGCGUAAAGAGCUCGUAGGCGGCUUGUCGCGUCGUUCGUGGAAAACCUGCAGCUCAACUGCAGGCUUGCGGUCGAUACGGGCAGGCUAGAGUUCGGUAGGGGAGACUGGAAUUCCUGGUGUAGCGGUGAAAUGCGCAGAUAUCAGGAGGAACACCGGUGGCGAAGGCGGGUCUCUGGGCCGAUACUGACGCUGAGGAGCGAAAGCGUGGGGAGCGAACAGG